GAAAGUAAAAUAAUUUAUUUGGUUUAUUGAUGUUAGCUNUAAAAUAUGCACACAUCGCCCGUCGCUCUCGUGAUAAAUGAGAUAAGUNGUAACAUAGUAGAUGUAUUGGAAAAUGUAUCUAGAAAGUC
rnacentral:rRNA from 1 species